UACGGGGGGGGCAAGCGUUGUUCGGAAUUACUGGGCGUAAAGCGUGCGCAGGCGGUUAUGUAAGGCAGUUGUGAAAUCCCCGGGCUCAACCUGGGAACUGCAUCUGUGACUGCAUAGCUAGAGUACGGUAGAGGGGGAUGGAAUUCCGCGUGUAGCAGUGAAAUGCGUAGAUAUGCGGAGGAACACCGAUGGCGAAGGCAAUCCCCUGGACCUGUACUGACGCUCAUGCACGAAAGCGUGGGGAGCAAACAGG
rnacentral:rRNA from 1 species